GGAGGUGUAGCUCAGUGGCAGAGCGCUUGCCCAGCAUGAACAAAGCUCUGGGUUCAAUACCCAGCACUGACA
rnacentral:tRNA from 1 species